AAAAAAGAAAAAAAGGGGAGAGAGAUUCAUCUUCCUCACACCACCCACCUCGUCUCCUGCUCUCCCCCCCAACCUAAAAUCAAACAAACGAAUCUCUAUUGAAGAUCUUAAAUGGUACACGAAGGAAAGCCACCAUUUACGAGUAACCGAAAUCGUCUCCGACGACGAGAGUGGAUAUGGGUGUCGAUGGGAGGUUGUUAUGGCGGUGGCCGUGGUUACGGUGGUGACCGGGUCAGUGGCGGUUCUAUUUAGUAAUUUUGUGGUCAAGUUUUCAGUUUCCGUUUUUUGUUUAGUUUCCAUGGAUACUCUAUCAACAUAAUUAUCUUAGAAUUCAGGUAUUAUUAUUUAAUUUCUUUCUUUCUUUUUUCGUUGAUUCAUUAAAAAAAAACCAAUUUUUCGAUAUAUUUAAUUUAAAGUUGAAAUAAAACGUAUUUAAUUUAUUUGUCAGGACGAUUCUUUAACCGGGGCAAUGUGUUCAAUGGAUGUUGCGACGAAGAAGAAUUUGAAGAAUUUAGUGAAAGUCGGAUAAAAUUUGUUAAAGAAACGAGUUUCGAGGCUAGAUUCGGAAAGUACAACUUUUGUGACAAUUAGUGAGGAAAAGGAGGAUGAAGCACUGAUUAAACUAGCCGCAAUGUUUUUGAGGGAGAAGAAAAUUCGAGACUCGAAUUUUCUUACGAGAGCAACGAUAUAAACAUAGGGUUUGAAACACGUUAAUUUGAGGAAAUAUUAUUUUUAUUGCUUAAUCUCAUUAUGUAUUGCCACUUUGUCACAACUAUAAGAACAUCUCCAAGGUUACAAGCUAAAAAAUGUAAUGUUAUAUCUAUUAUACCUCAUGAAUAGUGUUAUAGCAAGCUACUUUUCUCCUUAUCACUCCA
rnacentral:lncRNA from 1 species